rnacentral:lncRNA from 1 species
CCCGACUUAGGACUGAUAACAAUAUAACAAACACAAAAUAUAAAUGCAUAUAAACUAGUACAGUAUGCAAAAUAAAAUAACACCGUUGGUCAUAAGAUAAUACUACAACCACAUGAUAAUACUAAAAACUAUCUAUCCAAAAUCAUAAACAUCACUCAACACCACGAACAAGACACUUCAGCAACAAAUCAAGAACGCCCCCUACUGUUACCGAUGCACACC